CUUCAAAACUUCAUCUCUUUAACUUGUAGAGAUUGAGGGGUGCCCUGUUCUAGCCCUCUUUGCCAAGUGAAAGGUUGUCUUUUGAGUUUUAUCAAAUCUCUAAAUCAAAGAUGUUUCAAGGAGAUUGCUCGCUUCCCCUAAAGUGAGGAUACAUCAUAAACUUAUUUUUGAACCGUAAUAAAUUCAAAUUGCAAAAAUAGGUGCAGAGCCAAUUCAACCCUAUCAUGUCCUUACAUUCAUUAAGUGGCUUAACUAUUUGUGAAAGUCUCCCUGGAGUUGUGUUGAAAGUUUGACUAGGAAGCGGGUUUUGAGUACAACAAUUACAAACUUAUGGGCAUGCGAUGUAAAAUGUCAAGGGAGGGUGUUAUUUGACAACAGUUACAAAUUGGCAUGGAUGCCUUCAUUUCAAUUAUGCAUAU